CCUACGGGCGGCAGCAGUGAGGAAUAUUGGUCAAUGGACGAGAGUCUGAACCAGCCAAGUAGCGUGAAGGAUGACUGCCCUAUGGGUUGUAAACUUCUUUUAUAAAGGAAUAAAACGAGGCACGUGUGCCUUUUUGCAUGUACUUUAUGAAUAAGGAUCGGCUAACUCCGUGCCAGCAGCCGCGGUAAUACGGAGGAUCCGAGCGUUAUCCGGAUUUAUUGGGUUUAAAGGGAGCGUAGAUGGGUUGUUAAGUCAGUUGUGAAAGUUUGCGGCUCAACCGUAAAAUUGCAAUUGAUACUGGCAGUCGUGAGUACAGUUGAGGUAAGCGGAAUUCGUGGUGUAGCGGUGAAAUGCUUAGAUAUCACGAAGAACCCCGAUUGCGAAGGCAGCUUACUAAACUGUGACUGACAUUGAUGCUCGAAAGUGUGGGUAUCAAACAGGAUUAGAUACCCCAGUAGUC
rnacentral:rRNA from 1 species